rnacentral:lncRNA from 1 species
UUCACUUUGUAUUAGAUAUUUGAAAUGAAGCUGUAACAUUAGCCCAAAAGCAACUGGUUUCAAAUCUUUGUGGGGCACAUUAACACCGUGUCUCUCCACUCUGGUUAAGACCAAUUCAAAGUGGAUAUAGGGACUGGAGCUGGCGUGACCGAGACCAGUAGAACAUGUCGCAGGAAAUGACAGACAUUACAGGCCAGUGCAGUGAGCAUUAAACUACUCUUUUGAUCGGCCACCCCUACAUCUCUUCAUCGUAUGGGUUUUUGGCCUAACAGGAAGAUGGGGUGAAAUGAUCGUACGACAGGGCCGACUCCCCCCUCCGUUUUUUUUUUUUUGGUAUUAACCGGCAGUAGCUUCAACCUUGUACAUGCUCCAUUGCAUGGCUUGAGUGCAUCAAUAUGACACAUCAUAUUCAUCGAUCGACCAUCUGCUGACCCACCAACAUCUCACAACUGCUAUCUCCCAUUUCGUGAUAUGACUAAGAUCAAUUCUUGAUCUGAUAAUCAUUGGCAUUUUAAUAAUUCCAAUCAACAGUCAGG